GAUGAACGCUAGCGGCAGGCUUAACACAUGCAAGUCGAGGGGCAGCACGUCUUCGGAUGGUGGCGACCGGCGCACGGGUGAGUAACGCGUAUGCAAUCUACCUUUUACAGGGGCAUAGCCCGGGGAAACCCGGAUUAAUAUCCUAUAGUACCAUUAUAUAGCAUUAUAUUAUGGUUAAAGUUUCGGCGGUAAAAGAUGAGCAUGCGUCCUAUUAGCUUGAUGGUAAGGUAACGGCUUACCAUGGCUAUGAUAGGUAGGGGUCCUGAGAGGGAGACCCCCCACACUGGUACUGAGACACGGACCAGACUCCUACGGGAGGCAGCAGUGAGGAAUAUUGGACAAUGGGCGCAAGCCUGAUCCAGCCAUGCCGCGUGCAGGAAGACGGCCCUAUGGGUUGUAAACUGCUUUUAUACGGGAAGAAACACCCCUUCGUGAAGGGACUUGACGGUACCGUAUGAAUAAGGAUCGGCUAACUCCGUGCCAGCAGCCGCGGUAAUACGGAGGAUA
rnacentral:rRNA from 1 species